rfam:Nicotiana sylvestris Nsyl_contig5924, whole genome shotgun sequence.
UGGACAGAUUAUUGUAUUCGACUGUAUUUAUGGUGUGAAACAAGGGAUUACACUGUUUUUAAACGGAAAGUAUAUCAAUUAACAUAAUAGACUCCU